CACAUGCAAGUCGAACGAGAGAGAAGGAGCUUGCUUCUUCGAUCGAGUGGCGAACGGGUGAGUAACGCGUGAGGAACCUGCCUCAAAGAGGGGGACAACAGUUGGAAACGACUGCUAAUACCGCAUAAGCCCACGGGUCGGCAUCGACCUGAGGGAAAAGGAGCAAUCCGCUUUGAGAUGGCCUCGCGUCCGAUUAGCUAGUUGGUGAGGUAACGGCCCACCAAGGCGACGAUCGGUAGCCGGACUGAGAGGUUGAACGGCCACAUUGGGACUGAGACACGGCCCAGACUCCUACGGGAGGCAGCAGUGGGGAAUAUUGCACAAUGGGGGAAACCCUGAUGCAGCGACGCCGCGUGGAGGAAGAAGGUCUUCGGAUUGUAAACUCCUGUUGUUGAGGAAGAUAAUGACGGUACUCAACAAGGAAGUGACGGCUAACUACGUGCCAGCAGCCGCGGUAAAACGUAGGUCACAAGCGUUGUCCGGAAUUACUGGGUGUAAAGGGAGCGCAGGCGGGAAGACAAGUUGGAAGUGAAAUCUAUGGGCUUAACCCAUAAACUGCUUUCAAAACUGUUUUUCUUGAGUAGUGCAGAGGUAGGCGGAAUUCCCGGUGUAGCGGUGGAAUGCGUAGAUAUCGGGAGGAACACCAGUGGCGAAGGCGGCCUACUGGGCACCAACUGACGCUGAGGCUCGAAAGUGUGGGUAGCAAACAGGAUUAGAUACCCUGGUAGUCCACACCGUAAACGAUGAUUACUAGGUGUUGGAGGAUUGACCCCUUCAGUGUCGCAGUUAACACAAUAAGUAAUCCACCUGGGGAGUACGACCGCAAGGUUGAAACUCAAAGGAAUUGACGGGGGCCCGCACAAGCAGUGGAGUAUGUGGUUUAAUUCGACGCAACGCGAAGAACCUUACCAAGUCUUGACAUCCUGCGACGAUGCUAG
rnacentral:rRNA from 1 species